AACGAACGCUGGCGGCAUGCCUAACACAUGCAAGUCGAACGCGUGUAGCAAUACACGAGUGGCGCACGGGUGAGUAACGCGUGGGAACCUGCCCAGUGGUAGGGAAUAACUGCGGGAAACUGCAGCUAAUACCCUAUACGCCCUACGGGGGAAAGUUUUUCGCCAUUGGAGGGGCCCGCGUCGGAUUAGCUAGUUGGUGAGGUAAGAGCUUACCAAGGCGACGAACCGUAGCUGGUCUGAGAGGAUGAUCAGCCACACUGGGACUGAGACACGGCCCAGACUCCUACGGGAGGCAGCAGUGGGGAAUAUUGGACAAUGGGGGCAACCCUGAUCCAGCAAUGCCGCGUGAGUGAUGAAGGCCUUAGGGUUGUAAAGCUCUUUCGACGGGGACGAUGAUGACGGUACCCGUAGAAGAAGCCCCGGCUAACUUCGUGCCAGCAGCCGCCGUAAAAC
rnacentral:rRNA from 1 species